rnacentral:rRNA from 1 species
CCGGCGACCGGCGCACGGGUGAGUAACACGUAUGCAACCUGGCCGUCACAGGUGGAUAACCGGAAGAAAUUCCGACUAAUACGGCAUAACACUCCUGAGGGACAUCCCUUGGGAGUCAAAGGAGGCAACUCCGGUGACGGAUGGGCAUGCGGCGCAUUAGGUAGUUGGUAGGGUAACGGCCUACCAAGCCGACGAUGCGUAGGGGUUCUGAGAGGAAGGUCCCCCACAUUGGAACUGAGACACGGUCCAAACUCCUACGGAAGGCAGCAG